rnacentral:rRNA from 1 species
AUUGAACGCUGGCGGAAUGCUUUACACAUGCAAGUCGAACGGUAGAGGGGGCAACCCCUUGAGAGUGGCGAACGGGUGAGUAAUAUAUCGGAACGUGCCCAGUCGUGGGGAUAACGUAGCGAAAGUUACGCUAAUACCGCAUACGAUCUAAGGAUGAAAGCGGGGGAUCGCAAGACCUCGCGCGAUUGGAGCGGCCGAUAUCAGAUUAGGUAGUUGGUGAGGUAAAGGCUCACCAAGCCAACGAUCUGUAGCUGGUCUGAGAGGACGACCAGCCACACUGGAACUGAGACACGGUCCAGACUCCUACGGGAGGCAGCAGUGGGGAAUUUUGGACAAUGGACGCAAGUCUGAUCCAGCCAUUCCGCGUGCAGGAUGAAGG